rnacentral:rRNA from 1 species
AUUGAACGCUAGCGGGAUGCCUUACACAUGCAAGUCGAACGAGUGGCGGACGGGUGAGUAAUAUAUCGGACCGUGCCCAGUAGCGGGGGAUAACUACUCGAAAGAGUGGCUAAUACCGCAUACUAUUGGAGAGGCCGAUAUCGGAUUAGAUUGUUGGUGGGGGAAGGUCGCACCAAGGCAAAGAUCCGUAGCUGGUUUGAGAGGAAGACCAGCAACACUGGGACUGAGACACGGCCCAGACGCCUACGGUAGGCUGCAUUGGGGAAUAUUGGACAAUGGGGGAAACCCUGAUCCAGCCAUCCCGCGUGUAUGAGAAGGCCUUCGGGUUGUAAAGUACUUUUGGCAGAGAAGCGGUAUCUGCAGAAUAAGCACCGGCUAACUACGUGCCAGCAGCCGCGGUAAUUC